CCUACGGGGGGCAGCAGUGAGGAAUAUUGGUCAAUGGACGAGAGUCUGAACCAGCCAAGUAGCGUGAAGGAUGACUGCCCUAUGGGUUGUAAACUUCUUUUAUAUGGGAAUAAAAUGUUCCACGUGUGGGAUUUUGUAUGUACUUUAUGAAUAAGGAUCGGCUAACUCCGUGCCAGCAGCCGCGGUAAUACGGAGGAUCCGAGCGUUUUCCGGAUUUAUUGGGUUUAAAGGGAGCGUAGAUGGGUUGUUAAGUCAGUUGUGAAAGUUUGCGGCUCAACCGUAAAAUUGCAAUUGAUACUGGCAGUCUUGAGUACAGUUGAGGUAGGCGGAAUUCGUGGUGUAGCGGUGAAAUGCUUAGAUAUCACGAAGAACUCCGAUUGCGAAGGCAGCCUGCCAGGCCAUGACUGACGCUGAUGCACGAAAGCGUGGGGAUCAAACAGGAUUAGAUACCCUAGUAGUC
rnacentral:rRNA from 1 species